CACGUCUCCAAAUCACACCAAAAUGUCUUCCAGCAAUUAUUCUAGCGAUGAAAUUUCAUCAAGAGAUAGUGACUCCUCAUACUCCGAUGCCUCCUUAUCCCAUUUUAGUGAUUCUUCCCAAGAAAAUGAGCCCGACAAAUGUUCAAAAUAUUACUAGUCCCACUCGUAGAGAAACGAGUUUGUUGUCGAAUUACGGACCAUCGACGAGCGGAACUGGCCCCAGAAAACAGCUGAAAAGGAAUCAGAAAACACAACCUGCUAAAGCACCACGCAAGAAGAAGAGCAAGUCUUCCAAGUCCGAGAGUGUGUCUGCGAGAUCAAUUGAAACUAAUCAAGCUACAAUGUACAUGUAACGUACAAUCACCAUUUGAUGCCUGUGAACAGCAUGACCAACAUCUGUAUCCUUUACAUUAGUAUUUGUUUCCAUUUUAUUAUGUAAUUCUUAUGUCUAAUCAUUGAGAUUCAUAGGCAAGUACAACAUGUAUGUGUACACAAUGAGUGCCUGCAUAUUGUGAAGAUAAAGGACCAUAAGACCAUUACUUAUGAUACAUGGUAAUGAUGGUAUACUUUGUAAAACUAUUUGAAAAUAGUAGCAUGUAAGUCUGUCAUUUAUCUCAAUGACAUGACAUGUCAUUGAUUUUGUAGUAAGUGUUUCUAGAUUAUGAUGAUUGUAUUAAGAUUUUGACAGUUCAAUUGAGAUUGAGAAAAUUAUGUAACAUGUCAACUGUACAAUAGAGCAUGCAU
rnacentral:lncRNA from 1 species